GGGCCCGUAGCCUAGCAUGGAUAGGGCGCCGGUCUUCGGAACCGGAGGUCCAGGGUUCGAAUCCCUGCGGGUCCG
rnacentral:tRNA from 1 species